CUGUAAUCCCAGCUACCUGAGAGGCUGAGGCAGAAGAAUAAAUGGAAUCCAGGAGAUGGAUGUUGCAGUGAGCUGAGAUUGCACCACUAUACUCCAGCCUGGGUGACAAAGCAAGAUUCUGUGUCAAAACAAAACAAAACAAAAAAGGAGGGACUCAGAGAGCCAGGGACCAGGGAAGGACAUGAAGCAGUGUUCGGAGGACAGAGAGAGAGAAUGGGGAGGGGAAGGAGCGGCACAUGGGGUUGAGCAGAGGAGAAAAUCAGAAAGAUGGCUUAGAGAAGCCAGCAGUCUGCGAGUCUGGGGAGGAUGGAGAGUGGUUUGGGGUUUUGGGUCGGGGUCUAAGGUGAUCAGAUGCAGAAGCAUUACACGGUGGCCUGGUUUCUUUACUCAGCCCCUGGGGUAGAUCCCAGCCCCCCAUGUAGGUCCCUUGGCUGGAAAAGGAAGAAGGAGUGGUCAGAUGAAUCUGAGGAGGAGCCGGAGAAGGAGCUCACCCCUGAGCCUGAGGAGACCUGUGGAGUGGAGACGCUGUGUGGGCUCAAGAUGAAGCUGAAGCAACAGCGAGUGUCACCCAUCCUCCCUGAGCACCACAAGGACUUCAACAGUCAGCUUGCUACCUGGCCAAUGACAUGGAGGAGGACGACGAG
rnacentral:lncRNA from 1 species